GAUGAAGAACGUAGCGAAAUGCGAUAAGUAAUGUGAAUUGCAGAAUUCAGUGAAUCAUCGAAUCUUUGAACGCACAUUGCGCCCGCCAGCAUUCUGGCGGGCAUGCCUGUUCGAGCGUCAUUUCAACCCUCGAGCCCCCCCGGGGGCCUCGGUGUUGGGGGACGGCACACCAGCCGCCCCCGAAAUGCAGUGGCGACCCCGCCGCAGCCUCCCCUGCGUAGUAGCACACACCUCGCACCGGAGCGCGGAGGCGGUCACGCCGUAAAACGCCCAACUUUCUUAGAGUUGACCUCGGAUCAGGUAGGAAUACCCGCUGAACUUAAGCAUAUCAUAGCGGAGGA
rnacentral:misc_RNA from 1 species